rnacentral:rRNA from 1 species
CCUGGUUGAUCCUGUCAGUAGGUUAUCUUUGUCACAAAGAUUACGCCAUGCAUGUCUAAAUUCGCAAGGCUGGUAUAGUGAAACUGCGAAUGGCUUAUUAAAUCAGUUAUGGUUCCUUUGGUUGCUCACUCCUCUCCUACUUGGAUAACUGUGGUAAUGCUAGAGCUAAUGCAUGCUGACGGGUGCUGACCCCCUUUGUGGGGGGAUGCGUGCAUUUAUCAGAUCAAAACCAACGCGGUCAGCCUCCCUCCGGCCCCGGCUUGGGGGUGGGCCCUGGCGGCUUUGGCGACUCUAGAUAACCUCUGGCCAAUCUUGCACGCCCCCCUUGGUGGUGACAAUCCAUACAAACGUCUGCCCUAUCAACUUUUGAUGAUAGUUACCAUGCCUAUCAUGGUGACCACGGGUGACAGGGAAUCAGGAUUCGAUUCCAGAGAGGGAGCCUGAGAAACAGCUACCACGUCCAAGGAAGGCAGCAGGUUACCCACUCCUGGCACAGGGAGGUAGUGACGAAAAAUAACAUCACAGGACACUUUCGAGGACCUGUAAUUGGAAUGAGUCCACUUUAAAUCCUUUCCUGAAGAUCCAUUGGAGGGCAAGUCUAAUGCCAGCUGCCGCGCUAAUUCCAUCUCCAAUAGCAUAUAUUAAAGUUGCUGCAGUUAAGAAGCGGGAGCGGGCAGUCCACCGUGAGAUGAGCCACUGCCCAUACCACCCCUUGCCUCUCGGCGCCUCCUUGAUGCUAUUAGCUGAGAAUCCCACGGCCUGAAGCAUUUACUUUGAAAAAGCAGGCCCGAACCUCCUGGAUACCACAGCUAGGAAUAAUGGAAUAGGACCUCAGUUCCAUUUUGUUGGUUUUCAGAACUGAGGCCAUGAUUAAGAGGGAUGGCCAGGGGCAUUUGUAUUGCGCCGCUAGAGGUGAAAUUCUUGGACUGGCGCAAUAUGGACCAGAGCGAAAGCAUUUGCCAAGAAUGUUUUCCUUAAUUGAGAAUGAAAGUGGAGGUUUGAAGACGAUCAGAUACCGUCGUAGUUCCGACCAUAAACUGGCGAUGCGGCGGCAUUAUUCCCAUGACCCGCCAAGCAGCUUCCGGGAAACCAAAGGCUUUGGGUUCCGGGGGGAGUAUGAUUGCAAAGCUGAAACUUAAAGGAAUUGACGGAAGGGCACCACCAGGAGUGGAGCCUGCGGCUUAAUUUGACUCAACACGGGAAACCUCACCCGGCCCGGACACGGACAGGACUGACAGAUUUUUCUUUUUCAUUUUAACAUCUUUAUUGGAGUAUAAUUGCUUUACAAAGGUAUGUUAGUUUCAGCUUCACGACAAAAUGAAUCAGUUAUAUAUAUACAUAUGUUCCCAUAUCUCUUCCCGCUUGCGUCUCCUUCCCUCCCACCCUCCCUAUCCCACCCCUCCAGACGGUCACAAAGCACCGAGCUGAUCUCCCUGUGCUAUGCGGCUGCUUCCCACUAGCUAUCUACCUUACGUUUGGUACUAUAUAUAUAUAUAUGUCCAUGCCUCUCUCUCGCUUUGUCACAGUUUACCCUUCCCCCUCCCCAUAGCCUCAAGUCCAUUCUCUAGUAAGUCUGUGUCUUUAUUCCUGUUUCACCCCUAGGUUUUUCAUGACAUUUUUUUCUUAAAUUCUAUAUCUAUGUGUUAGCAUACGGUAUUUGUCUCUCUCUUUCUGACUUACUUCACUCUGUAUGACAGACUCUUGGUCUAUCCACCUCAUUACAAAUAGCUCAAUUUCGUUUCUUUUUAUGCCUGAGUAAUAUUCCAUUGU